rnacentral:rRNA from 1 species
AGUGAACGCUGGCGGUAGGCCUAACACAUGCAAGUCGAACGGCAGCACAGUAAGAGCUUGCUCUUACGGGUGGCGAGUGGCGGAUGGGUGAGGAAUACAUCGGAAUCUACUUUUUCGUGGGGAUAAGGUAGGGAAACUUACGCUAAUACCGCAUACGAACCACGGGUGAAAGGAGGGGAUGUUUGGACCUUGUGCGAUUGAAUGAGCCGAUGUCGGAUUAGAUAGUUGGUGGGGUAAAGGCCCACCAAGGCGACGAACCGUAGCUGGUGUGAGAGGAUGAUAGGCCACACUGGAACUGGGACGCGGUCAAGACUCCUACGGGACGCAGCAGUGUGGAAUAGUGGACAGUGGGCGCGAGCCUGACCCAGCCAGACCGCGUGUGUUAAGAAGGCCUUCGGGUUGUAAUGCCCUUUUGUUGGGAAAGAACAGCAGCAGGUUAAGACCCCGCUGUUCUGACGGUACCCAAAGAAUAAGCACCGGCUAACUUCGUG